UCCCCUGCCCUGAUAUUUUCUCCACCACCCAGAGCCUCUUUCACUCCCAGCUCAGCUGAGCCACUUCACAGAGUCCCUGUGUGAAAAUGGCACACAGCUGGCAAAGGAAGCUGCAUGUGAGCUGGGACAGAGCAGGAAUAGGAACCUUGAUUUAUGGGAGAAGUAUAAAAAAGCUUCCCUUUAAGCUUAACAAAGUUAUUUUUGCAAGGGAAGCCAGGUCCUCUCUCUGAGCAGGAUUAAAGCAGGACAAAAGCAGGAGACAGCCCUGAACACCAGGGCACAAGGAGAGAUCAAAGUUACCCUGACAGGGCUGGAGAGACAAACCCUCAGCCAGACCUCAUCUGUAUGGUGUUGUUACAGCCACGCCUGUGUGGCAGAGUGGUGUCUGCACAGAAGAGCCUUUUAUCAGAGAAUUUUGGGAAAUUGUAGUUAGCUCUCCCAUGUUGCUUCAGUGAGAAAGAAACCUGAGUGUAUCAGAGAAAUGGAGCAGCAAUAUCCAGGGGGUCGCAGCCAGCUGUAUGGAAGUCUUGUGGGCUGUUCCAGAAUCCUGAAAGUGAAAAAUCUCAGCCAACUAUAUCAUAUUCCCAUGACCCCUGCUGGGCUACAGAGAAGCCUGUCCCAGCCUGGUGGAGUCAACUCUGUUUUACUCAGAUCCUCUGUACCACGUUGUACCUGAGUUUAAACUCCAAGACCUGGCAAAUAAAGUGCCUUCCUUACUGUCUGUGGAUAUGAACAUCUGCCAGUAAACUUCAGCCCUCCUAAUUCACAGGUCUGUCCUAAUAUUUGAGUCUUCUUUGGUGAAUAAAAGCUCUUCUUCUGGAGGGAGAGGGCUCUUUUGUCAGGUUAAUUAAAUCCAGCAGUGCUGCUGAGGUUGCAGCUGUUUGAAAUUACAAAAAGAAGCAGACUUGUGUAAGCCUAGGGAUCAGUGGAGUAUUUUAUGGCUUAUACAAAGAUUUGUAAACAAAGAAAGAAAGAAAAAAAAAUUCAAAGCAAGGGGGCCAAAAUGUCUAAAUCAAAGAACUUUUUCUGGCUGAAUCUUUCUGGCAUCUUGGAUGUCGACCUGAUGGAUGCUCCUCUCCCCAGCAAAGCUGAACUGAAUAUAAUGGAAUAACUUACACUGCUGAAGAGGAAGCUGAGAAAACUUAACAGAAAAACACUUGAAAACUCACAGUCUCUUUGCUGAGAUGCUGCUUCAUAUACUUAAUAGUACUAAUGUUAAGUAGCAAAAUCCUCUGCUGUCCUGAGGCCAAAGUUGCUUUAAUAAAGGAGAGAGAAGAGGCACAAGACGGUGAGCCAUGUCUCUCCUGCCAGUCUAUCUAAUUAACAUUGAAUAUUAGCUAAAAUGUUAAGUAAUCAUCUCCAGUAAGUGAUAUGGAAAUGAGAAUGCUUCAGCUAGAGAAAAUUCAUUGGCAUUGUUUAAUAUAUUCAUACCAAAGCUCAAGUGGCUCCACGUUUUCAAGCUUCUUUCUUUCCUCUCUUUUUCUAUUCAUAUUGACUAAUCCCGAUUCUCGAACACCAGGUCUGGGUUCACCAUUAUAAUAGCUCUAAUCCUAAUAAAUGUCACCCUAUGUUAGCAUGCAGUAUUUUUUUAACAAAUUCUCUUUUAUUGAGCUUAUUCCUUUGGCAAAUAUAUUAGUUAUUUGGUAUUUAAAAGGUCAUCUUGAGCAAUAUUUUGGAAAUCUAUUUUCAUUGGUUUCAACCCAAAAUCUCAGAUUACAGGUGUUCUAAAUUUUGAGUUCCAUCUAAACAUCCCUGUCAUAAAUAAUAUUUUUAUAGUUUUGUGAGGCAUGGAGUCCAAAAUGCUUCUUAGGUUUUGGGCAUAUGUGACAAAGUAUCAAUAUUUGAUUUGUAGUUAGUGAGAUUUGUGCUUAAUUUUCCUGCUCUCUGAGAAACAAUUUAAUUUAAUUCACAAAGCUUCAUUGAUUGCACAAACACUCAAAAUUAACCUACAAUGAGUUAUUGUUUAGGGCUGUGGAGGUGAAGCUGGACAUCCCUCAGAAUAUCCAGUGCCUGUUUCUACAUCUUAACUGCCAAAUCUUAUUAAACGUUGUCACUUCCACAUUAUUGGGCCAUUUUGGAGGUAGUGUGGUGUGGCUGCCUUUUAUCUUUCUUUGGAGACCGUGGGUUUAUUAACCUGAGCUGAAUUCCUAAUGUCCAUAUUCACCCAUGCUUUAAUGCCCAUGCCCACAGACAAGGAAUUUGCAAGUCUGCUCAGUUUUGAUGUGAAUUGCAAAUUCUCAGAAGUGCUUGGAGGAAGAAAGCUCUUCCAGAGAAUAUUUGUGUUAUCUCUUUUCUCCAGGUGUCUGCUUUUUAAUGUUUGCAGAAGAAACAUGAAUACCAUUUUGUGGGAAAAGUCUUAAUGUCUAUAUUUGUUAUCAAUGGCUUUUAUGUCCCCUUAUUCCUGGAGCCUUUAGGGAGGAUGUUGCCAGGGGAAAGCACUGGAAAUCCCACAGAAUGACAAAAUGAUGAAAGUGAGAUGAGUAUGGGGCUGCCUUCAUGGUUUUUAUCUUGGAAUUUCACAGCAAAAAGCAAAGAGAGAGGCGACUGCACUUACAACAGGGCAGAGAGAGAGAUGUCAAGCAUGAAAAAUCCGAGCUCCCUUUGAGCUGAAUGUAGGAAAAUAAUAGAAAAGAUAAGUGAAACCUUUAAAAAUCAUAGGCAUAGCAACGUGUUCUUCAAAAAGGAAUGAUUUCAUCAGAGCCCUGCGGAAAUUCCUACAAGACUCCCAGGCAGAAACUUUUCACAGCUUUUUCCUACAAGGUGCAGGUGUGGAAAUGUUUUAUUGCCCUGCCUUACCAACCCUUUAUGCCUUCAGAACCACAGGGUAAUGGACUGUUAAGUCUCAGCUCCAUACAGGGCAGAAAGAGAUAUGUAAAUUCAACCAGAUUAAAAUUCAGAUUGCUGGAAGUCCCUUGCAUCCUUGGCUACAGCAUCUACAGCCCUGAACUGCAUUUUCAGCAUAAAUAGAGAAGUAGAAGUUAACCCAGGGUAGGUCUUUCAGAAAGAUCAACAAUAAAUGCCCAGCUAAUAGAUAAAAAAAAGCUCUUGGCACUGCAGAGUUUCAGCUGUGCCUUUGACCAGACCGAGCUCCUUCAGCUGGGUGUGUGCCUUGCCAGCAGACUCCUGAAAAACUUUUGAGUGACUUUAAUUUCUUCAUCAAGAACUCAGUUCUGAGACCUUUUACAAGAUCAGCCCUUGAAAGACCAUUAAAUUAACUUUCUGUCUGGAUGCAAGGAUUACACGCUACGGGAAAUGUUUGCUGCAAUUUCUUUUUGUGGCAUAAAAAUUGAUGAAUUUUCAGAAGUCAUUAUCUUCAUCAAACCCAACCUGUUCUCAUUAGACGUACUCCAAGAAGAGUUGAUGUUCAUUUGUUUCUGGUGCCAUCUGCUUUUACUGCUACAACAGACAUUUGUGGGAAAUUGAAUAUGAUCAAGAUCAAAUAGCCUUUAUGAGAAUGCAGUUUAAGGGUGAAACUCUUCUUGGCUCCUUCCACAUGAAUGCAUAUUCAACCUGAUGGAGCUGAACAUCCAAGAUUUUAUUGUAUCCUUUCUUUUGGGUUAUUAAAUGGGGAAAUUUUUUUAAAAAUGCAUUUUUCUUUUAUGUAAAGGCUUCAUAAUGGAAAGGCACAGUGCAUUAAGUAUGGCUGAACUGUAUAAAAUUCCUGUAGUCCAGAUAAUCACAAGAAUCAUUUAACCCUUAAAUAUUCUCAUUUUCCUCUUCUGAGUAGGUUUUGUGCUGUUUACUCAAAUGGGAGUGAGCUCUUUUGAAUUCUCGUGGCUGGGCUCUUUUCCAUGGUUUCUAUCAUCAUUUUCAUCCUUGUGCCAACAAGAAAACUGAACAAGGGCAAAAUGUCAUUGCCUUAAUAUACUGUGGUGUCACAAGUUAUGGUCAAUAAUAAAAGGGAAGGAAGGCAGACUGUUUAUUCUGGAAACAGGAUCUAUAUUUUAAUGGGAAAGGUGAAUAAUGCGAAGUAAAUACUAUCUAUGAAAGCCUAAAUAGGACUGUCUUGCUGUCUGUGACAUGACAAAAUGAUUAUAUCUGAAAAAUUGCUUUGUUUUAAAAUAGGAAUCAGCUGGGAGAUAUCAUUUUGAUCUGAAACAGAGUUUAGUUGAGCAAUUCCACAACCUCCCAAAAUAUUAUCCUUCUGUGAACUUUAUCUGAUAGCAAACAUUUAAAUGUACACAGCUCAAACCCUGAUGACUACAGAAUGAAAUUAACAUGAAAUAUAAAAUAUUUUAAAAUUAACAUAUUGUCCCCUCCUUACAGCAGAAUCAUAGAAUCAUUAUUUGAAAAGAUGAAAUUAUAUAAAAUUGUGCCAAACAUGAAUGUCUUUCAUUGCUCAAAGAGCCAUAAUAGCUUUCCCACAUUAAUUAAUUCCUUUGAGGAAUUUACUUUAAUCUCUCAUAAUAAAAGCAGUCAUCUAAAUCUUUGGCUUUGGAGUUUUUUUUUAAUCAUCACAGCAAUAUAAAAUCACUGCUUUGUCUAUCCCACUGUGUGUCCAUUGUUAUGUAUUUGUUUAACAAGAAUCUCUCCUCCUGCCAAUUCUUUUACUGAGCCUACAAUAAUGUAUCUGGUUGCCCAUUUUCUCUUGAUGUUGG